GCCUACGUCAUUGUGGCAAAGUCGAUUCUCUUCGCCAGUCUACAAGCACUAAUUUUAGUUGGUAUUUCAAGGGAAGAUGGGCGAUUCCGAACAAUCCUCUGUCCCCAGCAAUGAAGGCAGCGGUGCUGAGGCCAGUGAGGACGACCAACAGCCCACCGCCGCGUAUGGUUGGGGCAGGGAGCCCAGAUACUCUGCUGAGGAGCUGCAAUCGCGUGUAACAAAUGUGGAGGAAGAAGAUGCGUCAGCAGCUGCGUCCGACAGAAGACGAGUAGCUUGGCCACCAGAAUCUCGAUUCGUUUGGGACUCCGACUGGUGCGAGCGUGGACAAAAGUGUAUAGCCAUGCCCAGCCCGCGGGAAUGAUUUUGCUGGUAGGAUGCUGCCGUCGCUGUCGACAAGACGGCCCAAGGUUUCUUGCGUAGCGGACCUCGCAGAUUACGAGAUCGUAUCCUUGCAUUAGGCUGUGCUCAUCACUGCUCUUCGAGGUUAUCUCGACAUGCAGAAGCCGCCAAUGCCAGUGACAGAAGAGUCUGACAUUAGAUCUCUACGCUAUGCGGCACACAGGCAGUACACACUAUGUACACGGCAAAUUGGGCAAGCACGUUCGUUGUCGUCUUCCAGCCUGCGUUGUGAAUACCAUCAGGCAAAGAUAUCCAAAUCCUGCACCACCUCAGCCUUCUCAGGAGGCUUCCACCUGGAAUUUGGCAGGGAAACACGCUUCUCCAAGGCAGGAACAUGGAGGUUGCCAUUUGCAACCGCUACCACCUCACACAUGAGCUUGUCAACAUACUCAUAGCUCUUUCUGUCGUAUAAUUUUCUAUUUGGCCACAGUCUUCUUUAUGCUUUGAGAACUGGACUUUAUACCUUCC